rnacentral:rRNA from 1 species
UACGUAGGGUGCAAGCGUUGUCCGGAAUUAUUGGGCGUAAAGAGCUCGUAGGCGGCCUGUCACGUCGACUGUGAAAACCCAGGGCUCAACCCUGGGACUGCAGUCGAUACGGGCAGGCUAGAGUGCGGUAGGGGAGACUGGAAUUCCUGGUGUAGCGGUGAAAUGCGCAGAUAUCAGGAAGAACACCAAUGGCGAAAGCAGCUCUCUGGGACGGUACUGACGCUGAGACGCGAAAGCGUGGGGAGCAAACAGG